UAGGCUAGGGGGCAUAGCGCUUACCGAACCUUAUCAAACUCCGAAUGCCAUAUACUAUCAGUCCGGCAGUCAGACUAUGAAAGAUAAGUUCCAUGGUCAAAAGGGAAACAGCCCAGAUCGUCAGCUAAGGUCCCAAAGUGUAAGUUAAGUGGAAAAGGAUGUGGGAUUUCUAAGACAACUAGGAUGUUGGCUUAGAAGCAGCCACUCAUUAAAAGAGUGCGUAAUAGCUCACUAGUCAAGAGAUCCUGCGCCGAAAAUGUCCGGGGCUCAAACUUACCACCGAAGCUACGGGUUCACAAUUUAUUGUGAGCGGUAGAGGAGCGUCGUAAUCGGGCUGAAGUCGUACCGAAAGGAGCGGUGGACUGAUUACGAGUGAGAAUGUUGGCAUUAGUAGCGAGAUGUAGGUGAGAAUCCUACAGGCCGAAUAUCUAAGGUUUCCUGAGUAAAGUUUGUCUUCUCAGGGUUAGUCGGGACCUAAGGCGAGGCCGAAAGGCGUAGUCGAUGGACAAUUGGUUGAUAUUCCAAUACCACUAUAAUCGUUAUUAUCGAUGGUGUGACGGAGAAGGAUAGGAUGUGCUAACUAUUGGAUGUUAGUCUAAGCGUUUAGGGAGUUAGGAUAGGCAAAUCCGUUCUAACAAUUCUGAGGCGUGAUGGGGAAGGUUCUACGGAACCGAAGUAUCUGAUUCCAUGCUUCCAAGAAAAGCAUCUAGAGAGAGAAGUAGUGCCCGUACCGCAAACCGACACAGGUAGAUGAGGAGAGAAUCCUAAGGCCGACGGAAGAAUUGCAGUUAAGGAACUAGGCAAAUUGACCCCGUAACUUCGGGAGAAGGGGUGCCUGCUUUACGGCAGGCCGCAGAGAAUAGGCACAAGCAACUGUUUAACAAAAACACAGGUCUCUGCUAAAGCGAAAGCUGAUGUAUAGGGGCUGACGCCUGCCCGGUGCUGGAAGGUUAAGGGGAACACUUAGCGUAAGCGAAGGUGUGAACUUAAGCCCCAGUAAACGGCGGCCGUAACUAUAACGGUCCUAAGGUAGCGAAAUUCCUUGUCAGGUAAGUUCUGACCCGCACGAAUGGCGUAAUGACUUGUGCACUGUCUCAACUGCAAAUCCGGCGAAGUUGUAGUGCGAGUGAAGAUGCUCGCUACCCGCGAUUGGACGGAAAGACCCCGUAGAGCUUUACUGUAGCUUAGCAUUGAAUUUCGGUAUUGUCUGUACAGGAUAGGUGGGAGACUGGGAAACUAGGGCGUCAGCCUUAGUGGAGUCGUUGUUGGGAUACCACCCUGAUAGUAUUGAAAUUCUAACUGGAUGCCAUGAAACUGGUGACAGGACAUUGUUAGGUGGGCAGUUUGACUGGGGCGGUCGCCUCCUAAAAUGUAACGGAGGCGCCCAAAGGUUCCCUCAGAACGGUCGGAAAUCGUUCGAAGAGUGCAAAGGCAGAAGGGAGCCUGACUGCGACACCUACAAGUGGAGCAGGGACGAAAGUCGGGCUUAGUGAUCCGGUGGUACCUCGUGGGAGGGCCAUCGCUCAACGGAUAAAAGCUACCUCGGGGAUAACAGGCUGAUCUCCCCCAAGAGUUCACAUCGACGGGGAGGUUUGGCACCUCGAUGUCGGCUCGUCGCAUCCUGGGGCUGAAGUAGGUCCCAAGGGUUGGGCUGUUCGCCCAUUAAAGCGGCACGCGAGCUGGGUUCAGAACGUCGUGAGACAGUUCGGUCCCUAUCCGUCGCGGGCGUAGGAAAUUUGAGAGGAGCUGUCCUUAGUACGAGAGGACCGGGAUGGACUGACCUAUGGUGUACCAGUUGUUUCGCCAGAAGCAUAGCUGGGUAGCUAAGUCGGGAAGGGAUAAACGCUGAAAGCAUCUAAGUGUGAAGCCCACCUCAAGAUGAGAUUUCCCAUAGCAUAAGCUAGUAAGACCCCUUGAAGACUACAAGGUUGAUAGGUCAGAGGUGUAAGUGCGGCAACGUAUUUAGCUGACUGAUACUAAUAGGUCGAGGGCUUGACCAA
rnacentral:rRNA from 1 species